rnacentral:rRNA from 1 species
UACGAAGGGGGCUAGCGUUGCUCGGAAUUACUGGGCGUAAAGCGCACGUAGGCGGCUUUCUAAGUCGGGGGUGAAAUCCUGGAGCUCAACUCCAGAACUGCCUUUAAAACUGCAUCGCUAGAAUUGUGGAGAGGUAAGUGGAAUUCCGAGUGUAGAGGUGAAAUUCGUAGAUAUUCGGAAGAACACCAGUGGCGAAGGCGACUUACUGGACACAUAUUGACGCUGAGGUGCGAAAGCGUGGGGAGCAAACAGG